rnacentral:rRNA from 1 species
GACGAACGCUGGCGGCGUGCUUAACACAUGCAAGUCGAACGGAAAGGCCCUGCUUUUGUGGGGUGCUCGAGUGGCGAACGGGUGAGUAACACGUGAGUAACCUGCCCUUGACUUUGGGAUAACUUCAGGAAACUGGGGCUAAUACCGGAUAGGAGCUCCUGCUGCAUGGUGGGGGUUGGAAAGUUUCGGCGGUUGGGGAUGGACUCGCGGCUUAUCAGCUUGUUGGUGGGGUAGUGGCUUACCAAGGCUUUGACGGGUAGCCGGCCUGAGAGGGUGACCGGCCACGUUGGGACUGAGAUACGGCCCAGACUCCUACGGGAGGCAGCAGUGGGGAAUAUUGCACAAUGGGCGGAAGCCUGAUGCAGCAACGCCGCGUGCGGGAUGACGGCCUUCGGGUUGUAAACCGCUUUCGCCUGUGACGAAGCGUGAGUGACGGUAAUGGGUAAAGAAGCACCGGCUAACUACGUGCCAGCAGCCGCGGUGAUACGUAGGGUGCGAGCGUUGUCCGGAUUUAUUGGGCGUAAAGGGCUCGUAGGUGGUUGAUCGCGUCGGAAGUGUAAUCUUGGGGCUUAACCCUGAGCGUGCUUUCGAUACGGGUUGACUUGAGGAAGGUAGGGGAGAAUGGAAUUCCUGGUGGAGCGGUGGAAUGCGCAGAUAUCAGGAGGAACACCAGUGGCGAAGGCGGUUCUCUGGGCCUUUCCUGACGCUGAGGAGCGAAAGCGUGGGGAGCGAACAGGCUUAGAUACCCUGGUAGUCCACGCUGUAAACGGUGGGUACUAGGUGUGGGGUCCAUUCCACGGGUUCCGUGCCGUAGCUAACGCUUUAAGUACCCCGCCUGGGGAGUACGGCCGCAAGGCUAAAACUCAAAGGAAUUGACGGGGCCCCGCACAAGCGGCGGAGCAUGCGGAUUAAUUCGAUGCAACGCGUAGAACCUUGCCUGGGUUUGACAUGGAUCGGGAGCGCUCAGAGAUGGGUGUGCCUCUUUUGGGGUCGGUUCACAGGUGGUGCAUGGCUGUCGUCGGCUCGUGUCGUGAGAUGUUGGGUUAAGUCCCGCAACGAGCGCAACCCUUGUUCACUGUUGCCAGCACGUUAUGGUGGGGACUCAGUGGAGACCGCCGGGGUCAACUCGGAGGAAGGUGGGGAUGACGUCAAGUCAUCAUGCCCCUUAUGUCCAGGGCUUCACGCAUGCUACAAUGGCUGGUACAGAGAGUGGCGAGCCUGUGAGGGUGAGCGAAUCUCGGAAAGCCGGUCUCAGUUCGGAUUGGGGUCUGCAACUCGACCUCAUGAAGUCGGAGUCGCUAGUAAUCGCAGAUCAGCAACGCUGCGGUGAAUACGUUCCCGGG